UACGUAGGGUGCGAGCGUUGUCCGGAAUUACUGGGCGUAAAGAGCUCGUAGGUGGUUUGUCGCGUUGUUCGUGAAAACCUGAGGCUUAACCUUGGGCGUGCGGGCGAUACGGGCAGACUGGAGUACUGCAGGGGAGACUGGAAUUCCUGGUGUAGCGGUGGAAUGCGCAGAUAUCAGGAGGAACACCGGUGGCGAAGGCGGGGUCUCUGGGCAGUAACUGACGCUGAGGAGCGAAAGCGUGGGGGAGCGAACAGG
rnacentral:rRNA from 1 species